GAGACUGUGUCAGUUGGGAAGGCAGUGUACUCUUCCAUACCAAGGCGGAGUGAGUCAAGUCUGGAUUGGUGGCUGAAACUGAUGCUACAGUAAAUUUGCUCCCAGCACAUGGGAUAGCAGAGAUCAGAGAUGAGGUGACUCUGAGUUCAAAAUGGAAUCAACCGGCCAUAUGGAUCCCACUAUUUCAGGUUCUGGUGUCAGAGACAAAGAUGAGGGCCAGGUGGUCAAUCAGAUCAGCAGAGAGUU